GCACAAUCCAGCUGGCUUGACUGAGUAUCUUCUUUUACAUAUUUGAUUAGAGGUUUAAAAAGGUGGAACAAAAUGGAGAACAAGUCUAAGCCAUGUCAGGAAUUCAACAAAAUGUACACCCUGCAGACACUGCGACGAGGUUUACAUCAACUGCUUACCAGGUCACUGCAGUCACCCGGAUCGAGUACGUAUCCAGAUCAGAUGGUGGAUCACCACCUAGAA